rnacentral:lncRNA from 1 species
CGAAUCAACCAUACGGCCGUUUACAGCAUAGGAUCGAGGUUCUUAAAAAUAACUUUGCCUGAAAUCGCCAGCAACCGACUUAUCUUAUCCAAAACAAAACUAGACAAAAGUAGAAGGUGCAUCAAAGAUUAUAGUGGGAAACUGUAGGAAUAACGACGCCCAGAAUAUCAGCACCAUGGAUUACCCAACCAAGGGGUCAGUGGAUAUGAAGCUAUACAUCACCAUGUCCCUAAUACUUCCUUUAAGAAUCGCAUACUUUCGGAGCACUCCCUCCUUAUGAAAGCCAACCUUCUGCAACACCCUCUGGGAUGCCUUGUUGUCCACGUCCACCAAGGCACUCACCCUCUCCAGUCCUUCCACCUCCUUAAAUAUGGAGCCCACCACCAGCCUCACCGCCGCCGUCACAAUCCCCUUCCCCCAGUACUCGGACCCCAGCACGUACCCGAGCUCGCCCCGGAACCGCUCCUCGCCGGAGCCCAAGCUGACGGAGAUGGCCCCCACGGGGCGGCCGCCGACGCAGAUAGAGCGGAACCAGGGGUGGGGCAGCACCGUCUCCUUCACGUACUUGAGGAGGUCAUCCUUGUUAGUGUAAGUGUCCCAGGUGCAGAAUUUGCUCACCUUGUCGUCGGAAGCCCACACCAUGAAAUCGUCCACGUCCGAGAGGACGAAAGGCCGGAGGGAGAUCUGCGGCGUCGCCUUCUCGCUUUCCUCCGUGUUCACCUCUCGUUCCAUUGUGGGUGAUUGCCGCACCAGAGGAGGACCUGUUUUUUUCUUUCCCAGGGACAAGUCUUCCUCAAGUUUUUAUGUGAUCCUCGGAAGCCUCCAUACGGUCCCCACUUCGGCAAGCCAGCCGCCUCGUUUGACGGUUUCUCUCGUCAUUAUCCUUCGGGGUGUCAUGUGCAUCCAACACGAUUUGACCUUACUCUCCCAAGGCCACUAUAGCCCUAAAUGGACCGGUUUGACCGAUGGCCGAAUCCAAAUCGGCCUAAUCAGAUUCGAUCCAACCUAAUUUAAAAAAUUCAUGAGACUGGAUUGGAUUCUAAAAUUGAAUCCGUUUUAUUUUCUGAGUCAAAUUUGGGUUUACUAAAUUCUAAUCCGGCCCGACCUCUUCUAUUUAAUUUUUAGAACAAUUUUGGAUUUUCUAUUCUACGACCCGACCUGUCCCGACCGAAUCCAAAAGGUAUAUGAGCUUAGAUUUGGGAUGACUACGUUUUAGUGUAAACUAGCCACCCUAUAAUGCAGUUUUUUAAGUAGAUUUCAGAAAAAAUUGGGAGGAAAAUAUUUGGCCAUUGAGCAACAUAAAGAAUAUAUAAACACAUCCCUCUCUCUCUCUAUAUAUACAUGUAUACUUAUAUAUCUAUACACAUAUGUACUUAUGUACAGUUUCGUUAUUCAUCAUUUCUCCUUCGUUGGUUGGGUUGGAAAGAAGCAUGCAUUCUUUUUUUUGAAGGAAACUCAUGAAGGUUCCUACAAUUUAAAACAAAAAGGAGAAAAAAAAGAUAAUCAAAGGAGUAAAAAAAUUGAACUAAUGAUAAUUAAUUACAAUUAUUAUGAUAAAAAAGGAUUAGUAUCAAAAAUAAAUUACUUAUCGUAGGUAAUGUAUUUUCUUAGGAGUUUUAUCUUUAAAAAGUUCGGUACAAAUGCAUUUCUUGGGAGUUGAAAUAAUAGCUCUCUUUGGAGCUUGAGAGGAAGAAAGUCCAUCACCAAAAGUCUGCCAUAGAUUAGGUGCUUGUAUUUUUUACAAAAUUCAAGAAAAAAGAAGAAGAAACGUAAUGUUACCAUUGUAUGGGAGGUUGAUCGUUUCUUCUAUAUUGGUCAUGACAGAAAUUAUUUUCAUGCAUUGAUUGUUGAGUGAACUAGGCGUUUGGAGAGACCAUAAGCUUUAAUUGUUGCGUAAGCUGAAUGUCUGGAGAGACCGUUCGUAUCGAUUGUUGGCAAGGACACGGCACGAUUCGUGGGAGAACACGAUAAUGGUGAUCUACCGCCCGGAUGCUUCCUAGUCGGAGGAGCCGCUUGGGCAUUUUCAAGCCCUUAAGUCGGGAUCCAUUCGGCCGCCCCUUGCUCGGGGGGGUGCCCGGUCGCCUCCUGCUCGGAGGGGGGCGCCCGAUCGCCUCCUGCUCGGAGGGGGCGCUCGGUCGCCUCUUGCUCGGAGGCUUGGUUGCCUCCUGCUCGGACACAAUUCUUUUUUCCCCCAACACUACCCCCCAACUUUCGAGCUCGAGCUGCUCGCAGGCUCGAGCGCGGGAAGUAGUUAAAGUGGAUUAAAGGGAGGAAUUUUGAAUUAUCGCGCGCUUCGAGACACUUUAAUGGGAGUAGGUGGACGACGUCCCUUCUUUUCCGAAGUGUCUCAUCAUUAGUACCUCCCGUUUUUCCAAAUAUUUUUGCGUUGUGAGCUCAUGAUGGGGCUACACGAUCCGACGAGGCGUCUCCUUCUCCAAAGCGUCGGUCCGAAUUGAAUGCUGCGCCUUAACUCCCUGGGUUGACACGUGUCGUGAUCUGGACAGGGAGGAGCGUUCUGCCGAGUGGAUCUGAGUCAUUGGAGGGGUCUAUAUAUAAACCCCUCCUUGGCAUCCUCGAUUUCUCUCCCAUUGUCUUCUUCUUCCUUCCAUCUCCUUCCUAGUCCGAAGCGGCCGAUCUUCCAUUACCUCCGACGAACUCCCACAUGUGUCCCUCUUUCAUCUGCUCGGAACCCCUUUUUUCUUCCCUCUUCCUCUUUCUUUUUCUUAAUGGGUCCUGGUCCGACUGAAAUCGGGUCCACGAUGAGUGAGUUAGAGGUUGAGAUGGUCGAGGAGUGGUUCUUUCCUCGGCGAGGGUUCCGUUUGGAACCCGCUGGGUUGGGGGAUCGGGUAACGAACCCCCCCUAAGGUCGGAUCGGAGUGUAUUUGGAGGUACUCUGGGCCGGCCUACACUUUCCCUUCCAUGGGUUCCUGAACGAGUUGCUCGGGGAGUACCAACUCGUCUCGGCGCAACUUGCUCCAAACGCAUGGAGGACGAUCAUCGGGUUCCUGUCGUUGUGCAUAGCGUACGAGAUCCCGUCUUUCGUGAAUGUCUUCCGGCGGCUCUUCAUGUUGAAGUCCAGCCCGGGAGACGGGGAGUGGCUUUAUAUCGCCCUUCGGGCGGGUCGGCCGCUCUUCCAGGACGCUCCGAUGUCUAUUCACGCCUGGAAGAAAAAGUUCUUUUUGGGUUCCGAGCGAUCGUGGGGGUUUGACCCUAGGUGGAGGCAGAGCCGGCUCAGAUCCGCCAACAAACUCCCCAGGCUUUCUGUACGCAAGCAGGGGAUCCUUAACACCGUUCGCGGCCUCGGGGAUGGUAUUCUUCUGAGCGGCCUCGUGAGCGAGGACGCUCUGGUCAAUGUCGGUCUGAGCUUGGCGCGUCCUCAGGAUAAGGAUAGUAAUAGAAAGGUUUCCUUUUUCUUUUUCUCCGUAAUAUUUUGCGAAUUUAUCUUGCUCGUCCUUGCAGACAUUGCGAAGAUGGUGACCAAGAGCGAAGUUUUGUACGCUCGGUUCCGAAAGAGGGCUGCCGAGCUCGGAGGAGAACCGCUCGAGCCCAAGAAGAAGGCAAAGGUCUCGGCUGACGGGGCCGCCGAGAAGAGCGCCCUCUGGAUCGGGUCCUCUGAAGCUGCUCGGAGGGAAGGCUCGAGCUCCGAGCCCGGGAGCUCAGCGGGAACUGCUAUGGCGCUUGCAUGCCCGGCGCCAAUCUCGCAAGUCCCCCCUCAGCCGCCCCUCCGACCCGAAUGCCCGGCAUCCGAGCCGGGCAGCAGCCGAGGGGCUGUGAGGCCGCCCUCGCCGAAGGCGACAAGGCCCAGCCUCUCCGACUGCCGAAGAAUGAGGGCCAACAAGAGAGGCGGCCCUACGCUCCGGAAUGGACGGUGUGCGAGGGCGACUCAGCCCUCAAGAAUGUUGAGACGACCCGGCAGAUCUUCCGCGUUGCGCUCCUUCCAGCCGAUAGGGCAAAAAUUCAGGCUAUGAGCCUGAAUAAUUUUUUGGAGUCAACUCGCCUCUCCGCUAUUCGGGUAGGUCUUCAUUAUUUGCUGUUAUUUAUUCCUUACACUUUUAGGUUUUAUACCGUAAUUUUAUCCUCGGCCUAAUUUCUAUCUUGGUUGCAGCACCUCCACGAAAUCGAGACACUGAUCGCGCUCGGGGCAGAUUACAAAGAACGAGCUCGUCGGAGUUCUCGGGCACUAGAAGAGGCCGACAGAAGGCUGGUGGAGCUCGAGCUCCACAAGAAGGCUGACAGAAGGAGCUCUUGCUUCGAGUGGGCGCCACUGAGGACGAAGUCAAGCUCCUAUCCAUGGCGCUCGAGGAGGAGAAGGCCGCUCAUACUCUGGCUAGAUCAGAGUUGCGGGCCGCCGAGGCUCGUCUGGCCGAGGCGCAAUCUCUGCUCGCCAUCCGCGAGCAGAGAGUAAAGGAAGCGGAGCAGAAGGCCGAGCAGCUCGAAGCACGGGAGAAAGAGGCCCAGGAGCGGGCUCAGAAUGCCGUCCGGCUCUUUCGAGAAUCGAAAGAGUUUCAAGAGCUGCUCGAGGAGGAAGCCGUAAACGGCCUUAUCCAAGGGUUCAACGAUUUCCGCAAUCAACUGUGCCAGCUCUGCCCCGAUUUUGAUCUCAAUCUACUUCAGCCCGGAGCUGGAGUCGAAGGCCUCGGGGCGAGGUCGGACGAGACGACCGGAGAGGCAGCUCCGGAGGCUCCCACGGAAGAAGCUGCUCGGGGAACCGCUCCCGAGGUCGCGGCUGAAAGCUCCGAAGGCGGUGAGGUUGGGGCUACUGCCGAAGGGGAUCCGGCGGUCGAAGUCAUCGAGGGCAUCGAAGUCGAGCCCGGGGAGAUCUCGGCUGGAGAUGCCACGGCAGCCACCUCUUAAAACUUUGUACUUUUUCUUUCCCUUUUCGUAACAAGAGGUCGGCCCUUGUCUACCGCACGGCCGAGCCUUAAUUUUGUACUUGGCCUCCGGGCUUUUGAAUGGAAAUAUUCCUUUUCAACUUUCGUUCUUUCAAUUCCUUUGUAGUUCACUUUUUAGCUAACGCUUCUCCAAGACUCUGCUGCUCAGGUUUUCGAGCUGCUAAGGCACUUUAGACCGAAAAAAUGCCCGAGCUUGCCAAGCUCCUAAGCUUGAGCCGCAGUUUCGCGGUCGUAGAGCUUGGGGCCCCAGCUGCGGGGCGCCGUGCUCUAAUCAUCUUAUUAGAUAACUAGCUUGUGGCCCAAAUCGUUGAACCCCCCGAGCUCGGGAUUAAAUUUCACCGAGCAGCCGAAAAACCGAACUAGGGUUCAUGCGGGCGUGUUCGACUAGAUUUCAGCUCGUAAUCGGCUCGGCGGAGGACCCUGAUAUUGGCCGGGAUUUUCAUUUACAUAUCCAACAUAAGAAUGAAUGGAAUGUGCGUAUCGAAUAAGGCAGGCGCCGAUCAGAGCGUACCUUCUCGGGGUUAUAUGCCCCAUGCCGUGAAUUGUUCUUAGUGGUACCUCAGCUUGUCAUAGAGGACGACCCCAAGCUUAAUCCGAAGCAUGGGGUCGUAACCCUUUGAGCUCGUACAUGAAGCUGUCGCAGGCUUCAAGGCGCCCAGAUCUCGAUCGAGGUAUCUGACAUCGGAACCAAGCCUCGAUAGUCGAUGGAGAUCGAGCCGAGCUCGAUGGUUGAUGGAGAUUGAGCCGAGCUAGACGGUCGAUGGAGAUCGAGCCGAGCUUGAUGGUCGACGGAGAUCGAGCCGAGUUCGAUAGAUGGAGAUCGAGCCGAGCUCGAUAGCUGAUGGAGAUCGAGCCGAGCUCGGUAGAUGGAGAUCGAGCCGAGCUCGAUGGUCGAUGGAGAUCGAGCCGAGCUCGAUGGAUGAUGGAGAUCGAUGGCUGCAUCUCGAACUUUUGGAUGAUCGCGAACAUUUAUUUCCGGAGGGGAUCGCGAGGGUACUAUCCCAUCAUCCCGAUAUCGAGGGGUUUGGGUACGCACUGUCGACACUUGGGGCAUCCCGACCUUAGUCGAGGAGGCGCAUAUUGGGGACCGCGAAGGUACUACCCCGUCUUUCCGAAGUGUCGAGGGGUCUGGGCACGCACUGUCGACACUUGGGGCAUCCCGACCUCAGUCGAGGUACUUAAUGGAGAUCGAGCCGAGCUCGAUGGUCGGUGGAGAUCAAGCCGAGCUCGAUGGCUGCAUCUCGGACUUCUGGCCGAGGCGUCUAGCGUCGUCCGGCAUUAAUUAUAGUAUCCUAGCAGGAUCGCAUAUCAGGUUGUCUAAAGAUUACGAAACUUCCUAUUAGGACGAACGCGAUCAUAAAUGAAGAAUAGCAAAAAUCACUGAAGAAGAUAAAACUUAUGCUCAGAACAGAGAAACCCUCGGGGCCCUAUUGAUGAUACACUCGGAGGUUUUCGAAACUCCAACUUCGUGGAAUGGGGAUCCCUUCGAGGGAUUCGAGCUUGUACGCUCCGGGUCGUUGGACGCGCGCGACCCGAUAGGGUCCUUCCCAAUUUGGGGCCAACUUCCCUUGCUCGGCCAGCUGGGAGGCUUCAGCUCUUCUAAGGACGAGGUCUCCCACUUUGAAGGAUUUGAAUUUGACCCUGGCGUUGUAGUAUUGCGCCACCUUUUGCUGGUAUCUCGCCAUGCGGACCUGGGCGGCUUUCCUUGUCUUCUCGAUGAGAUCCAGGUUGCUCCUGAGCUGCGUAGCACUGGAGUCGGCAUCAUAACAUUCUACCCUUGGAGAAGGGAGUCCGAUUUCCAACAGGAUGACGGCCUCCGUUCCGUACGUUAAGUUGAAGGGAGUCUCGCCGAUGGGUACGCGGAUUGUGGUCCGAUAAGCCACAAGACGUUGUAUAGGUCUUCGACCCACUGCCCUUUGGACUGAUCGAGCCUGGUUUUGAGUCCCUGCAAAAUAGUAUGAUUCGUUAUCUUGGUUUCUCCAUUUGCCUGAGGAUGUGCAACCGAGGUGAAACGGUGGUCGAUGCCGAGCUCCGAGCAGAAUUCUCUAAAAUGAGCGUUGUCGAACUGGCGGCCGUUAUCUGAUAUGAGGAUGUGGGGGAGCCCGAAUCUACAAAUUAUGAACUUCCAAAUGAAGUCCUGCAUCUUCUGCUCGGUGAUCCGGGCCACUGGAUCGGCCUCGACCCACUUCGUGAAGUAAUCAAUGGAGACGAUCAGAAAUUUCCUCUGCCCAGUCGCCAAGGGGAACGGUCCCAGGAUAUCGAUUUCCCCAUUGAGCGAAUGGCCAGGGAGAGCUGAUUGAAGUCAAGGGGGCUGAGGGUCGGCGCUGGAUGUUGGCAUUCCUCUGGCACCGGUCGCAUCUCCGAACAAAAUCCAGCGUAUCCUUCUGGAGUGUUGGCCAAUAGUAUCCCUGGCGCAAAAUUUUGUAUGCCAGUGCUCGGCUUCCCAAAUGGUUUCCGCAGAUGCCUUCGUGGACUUCGCGCAUUGCGUAAUCCGCCUCCGACGGGUAGAGACAUCUGAGAAGGGGAGAGGUAAAGGAUCUCCUGUAGAGCUUGCCUUCAUACAGUAUGUAUCUCGAGGCUAUGCGCUUGACUCGACGAGCCUCACGCUCAUCGUUGGAAAGAACUCCAUUCUGUAGGUAGCUAACGAGCUCAUCCAUCCAGCUUGGCUCAACGUCGAUACAAAGAGCCGGUUCGGGCUCCUCUGUGCUGGGAAUCUGGAGGUACUCCAGUGCUGCCGCUUUUGGGAGCUCGCUUAUGCGGGAGGACGCCAAUUUUGAUAAUUGGUCGGCUCUGAGAUUCUCCGACCUAGCAAUAUGUUGAAUGUGGAAGGAACCCAGAGUCAAAGUGAGGUGCCGCACCUUCUGGAGAUAUUUUUGCAUUGUCGGCUCCCUUGCUUCGAAGUCCCCCAAAAUUUGGCUUACAACCAAUUGGGAGUCACUGAAGGCCUCCAAGUUCUCGACCUUCAGCUCUCUAGCCAGCUUAAGCCCGACUAUGAGCGCUUCGUAUUCCGCCACAUUAUUAGAGAAGAAAAACUCGAGGCGUAAAGCCUGCUCGGCGACCACUUCAUCUGGACUGGUGAGAAUGAGGCCCGCUCCGCUACCCCCCGAGUUCGAAGAACCAUCGACGUGCAGAGUCCACGUCGACCUCGGGGUCUACUCUGCUGGCGCGGGUUCGAGCUCGGCCUCGUCUGGCACAGUGCACUCGACUAUAAAAUCGGCGAGUGCCUGCGCCUUGAUCGCCGGUCUGGGUCGGUACUCGAGGUCGAACUCCCCGAGCUCGAUGGCCCACUUUGUAACUCGGCCAGCGCGAUCUGAUCGCUGCAGGAUCUGCUUUAUUGGCUGGUCGGUCAACACGGCUACCGUGUGAGCUUGAAAGUAAGGCCUGAGCCUUCGAGCUGAGACGACCAGGGCGAAGACGGUCUUUUCCAGCUUGGAGUAUCGGGUCUCAGCAUCUCUCAAAACCCAGCUGGUGUAGUAUACUGGCUUUUGAAGCUUGCUCUCCUCUCGAACCAGGACCGAGCUCACUGCUAUGGGAGAAACGGCUAAGUAUAGGUAGAGGAGCUCGCCCUGCUGAGGCUUCGUAAGCAGCGGAGGAGUGGCGAGAAGGCACUUGAGCUCUUCGAAGGUUUGCUGGCAUUCUGCCGACCAUAAAAAGUUCUUUGGCUUUUUGAGAGCCGCAAAGAAUGAAAGGCAGCGCUCGGCCGAUCGGGAGACGAAUCUUCCGAGAGCUGCAACUCGGCCUGUAAGCCGUUGCACUUCUUUGACUGUCCUUGGGGGCGUCAUCUCUUGGAGCGCUCGGAUAUUCUCAGGAUUGGCCUCGAUUCCCCGCUGUAUAAUUACAAAGCCAAGAAACUUGCCCGAGGUGACUCUGAACGCACAUUUGGCAGGAUUGAGCUUCAUCCGGUACCUUCGGAGCGUAGAGAAUGCCUCGUUGAGGUCGGUCACAUGAUCUUGCGCCAUGCGGCUUUUCACCAACAUAUCAUCAACAUAGACCUCCAUGUUUCGCCUAUUUGAUCUUUAAAAAUUUGGCUAACCAGCCGCUGAUAAGUCGCUCCAGCAUUCUUUAGGUCGAAAGGCAUUACUAUGUAGCAGUAGGUGCCCCCGUCAGUGAUGAAGGCUGUCUUCUCUUCAUCCUCCGGCGCCAUCCGAAUCUGGUUGUACCUUGAGAAUGCGUCCAUGAAAGACAGUAGCUCGUGCCCCGAGGUGGAAUCCACAAGCUGGUCGAUGCUAGGAAGUGGGAAGCUAUCUUUUGGGCAGGCCUUGUUCAGGUCGGUGUAGUCCACACACAUGCGCCAUUUUCUGCUAGCCUUUCUGACAAGGACCACAUUGGCGAGCCACUCCGGAUAAGAUAUCUCCCGGAUGAAGCCGGUCUCGAGAAACUUGUCGACUUCCUCGGCUGCUGCUCAUUGUCGCUCUGGAGCAGCACUUCGCUUCUUCUGUCGUACAGCCUUACAGGUUGGCUUCACUUGGAGUCGGUGGACCGCGACCUCCGGAUCUAUUUCCGGCAUAUCGGCGGACGACCAGGCGAAGACGUCCAUGUUGUUCCGCAGGAAGCUGACAAGACGAUCUCUCUCGCGAGCAUCGAGGCCGAAGCCAACCUGCACGGUUAGCUUGGAAAAAUUCUCUUGUAAAGGGAUUUGGAUAAGCAGCUCACCAGGCUCUACCCGCUUCUUCUGAGGGCCAACCCGUGCCUCUAAGGUUUCGGCCGGGAGCUUGCCAUCUGGUGUCGGAACCGAUACUUUGGCUGGUUGCUUUGCCUCGUGGGUCGCCAUGUAGCAUCGCCUUGCUACCGCCUGGUCUCUACGAACUUCGCCGACUCCUUGGCUGGUGGGGAAUCGCAUAAGCAGGUGGCAGGUUGAGACCACGGCUCGAAGAGCGUUGAGCCCAGAUCGUCCGAGGAUGGCGUUAUAGGCCGAGGGCAGACGUACUAUGAGGAAAUCCAUCCUCACAGUACUUUCUCGGGGAGCGAGCCCAACCGUAACCAGGAGAUCGAUCUCGCCCUCUACCGGAACUGAGUCCCCAGUAAAUCCAACCAGCGGGGCAUUCAUCCUCCAUAAUUGUUUCUCCAUCAUCCCCAUUCUAGAAUAGGCGUCAAAAUACAAAACAUUCGCCGAGCUUCUAUUAUCAACUAGAACACGUUUUACAUCAAACUUGUUCACAACCAUAGAGAUGACCACAGCAUCGUCAUGGGGGGUUUCAACUUCCUCCAAGUCCUCAUCCGAGAACGAGAUAGUUUCGGAGGCGCGCAGGCGCUUCGGGGCGGUUCCUUCCUCUGCAGCUCGUCCGACCGAGGUUCUGCCUCGGAUGGUGUUAAUGGUUCCGGCGAUGGGUCUGUUGGCAUUUGGAUCUUCCGGCUGUGCGGUAUCCUCCGCUGGCCUUUUCUCUUCACGCCGGUUCCAUACGAACCGGUCGAGCACUCCUUGGCGGAUGAGUGCCUCGAUCUCGUCCUGGAGCUGGAAGCAGUCUUCCGUAUCAUGGCCGUAGUCCCGGUGGAAGCGGCAGUACUUCCGGAGAUUGCGCCAAGCUCCGGGAUCCCGCCUCGGGGGCGGAGGCUGGAAGUACUCUCGGCCUUCGAUCUCCAUGAGGAUCUCGGUCCAAGGAGCAUUAAGGGGAGUGUAAUUUUCGUACCUCCCAUUGGAUAUGCGGGGCCGCGGUGGAGAUCUCGAACGGGACGGGGAUCCUGGUCGGAGAGGUCCCCGCAGCCUAGGUGGACUCUUCAGACGAGGCGGGUUCUUGGCUCGGCGCAGAGAUGGGCUUCUGGGACGGCCGCGCUCCUCACGAUGCCUCUUUUGCUUUUUGGAGGUCUGCUCGGCCCCACCCCGCCUAGAAGCUACGGCUUCCUCGGCCUUUGCGUACUUCCGCGCCCAGACUAGCAUUUCGGUGAAGUCAGCUGGGAAAUUCUUCUCGAUGGAGAAGAGAAACCUAUAAGACCGAGCUCCAGUCUUGAGUGCCGACAUGGCGAUUGACUGGUCGAGCUCGCGGACCUCUCACGUUGCAGCAGUGAAACGGUCCAGAUAUUUCCUAAGCGACUCUCCCUCCCUUUGCUUUAUAUCGAGGAGGGAGUCUGAAGUCCGCCGCUGGAGUUGGCUGGCAGCAAAGUUGGUAGCGAACUGCCUGCCGAGCUGCUCGAAAGAGGAGACCGUGCUCGGUUUCAGCCCGGCAAACCAGAGCCGAGCUGCUCCUCGAAGCGUUGCUGGGAAAGCCUUGCAGAGCAUGGCCUCCGAGGAUCUUUGCAAUGCCAUCAGGGCCCGGUAACUCUCCAGGUGGUCGAAGGGGUCGGUCGUGCCGUUGUAGGGCUCCACCUGGGGCAUCUUGAACCUUGGCGGGACUGGCUCAUCCUCGAUUUGUUGGGAGAAAGGGGACUUCGUGGUAAACUCGAAGUCGACCUCGCAUCUCGCCCUCCUGCCGUGGAGUGCCUCGAUUUGGCGCUCCAGCUUCUCGACUUUCUUGUCGAGUUCGUCACCCUGGGGGGCCGCCACGGUGGUCUGCUCGGGCACAGGUUGCCCUGGGACUGACUCGAUCUCUGACGAUUGUGGCCAAUCGCCUGAACCCCUCACUUGGGGUUCUCUCCAGGAGGAUGGUCGGGCGUGGGGAUCUUGACCUUGGGGGGCCGGUCCACUAGGAGGGGGCACCGGUUGAACCGGAGCCUGAGGAAGUGGCGCCGUCGGGACGCCCCUAGGUGGCAGGCCUUGGACGGCAGCAGCCAAGGCCUGAACCUGCUGCACCAAGGUAUCGAACUGUUCCGGUCGAACUUGAGGAGCCGAAUCGGCCGGAGAUGGUGAGUUCUGGACAGAGUGUCCAGGACUAGGUGGAAGACGUCGGGAGGCAUUAGAGGCUCCCUUGCUUCUCAGCUUCAUGGCCGCGACUCGGUCCCCUUCCUCUAGCAUCAACUGUUGCUGGAAUUCGGACCCGGGGGCGACCACUGGGCCGGGAAGGAGGAGCUCCGGGAAAGCUUGGCGAACGGCGGCGAUCCGGCGAUGUGCGGCGUCCUCCGGGAGACCUGCAAGAAGCCGGUGGCCGGGUUUUUCCGGCGCCGGACCUCCGAUGCUUAAUUCAGAGAGAUGGCCCAAAGACAUGCAAGAGAGGAGCUCGAGUCUAAGAGUCCCCCUUUCCCCCCUCAGGAAUUUCUUAUUUAUAGGGGGAACGGGUUUACCUGUGAUGGGACAGAGCGGAAGUACUGCCGUAUAGUUGGACGUACAGUGGAAGUUAAUGCUUGAUCGUGUAAAUCAAUGUUGUCCUCGUAGGAGAUCAGGCCGAAGUCUUUGAAUUACUACGGAACCAUGCUGUCGUUUAUAGCCAAACAGGUUUGCCGUGUGGAGCUAAGCAUUCAUAGACAACAGGAGCCAUGCACCUUAAUUGUUGAGUGAGCCACAUGAGCCACAUGCCAGCAGAGGUUACAUGCAUUGAUUGUUGAGUGAACUAGGUGUUUGGAGAGACCAUAAGCUUUAAUUGUUGCGUAAGCUGAAUGUCUGGAGAGACCGUUCGUAUCGAUUGUUGGCAAGGACACGGCACGAUUUGUGGGAGAACACGAUAAUGGUGAUCUACCGCCCGGAUGCUUCCUAGUCGGAGGAGCCGCUUGGGCAUUUUCAAGCCCUUGAGUCGGGAUCUAUUCAGCCGCCCCUUGCUCCGGGGGGGGGGGGCGCCCGGUCGCCUCCUGCUCGAAGGGGGGCGCCCGGUCGCCUCCUGCUCGAAGGUCGCCUUCUGCUCGGAGGGAGGCUUGGUCGCCUCCUGCUUGGAGCGAGGCUUGGUCGCCUUCUCCUCGGAGGCUUGGUUACCUCCUGCUCGGACACAAUCCUUUUUCCCCCAAUAAUUUCCUUGUCUGAUCAAAUUAUUUGGUUUCUUGUCAGACCAUUUUUGACAGAUUUCUCAUCUUCAAUGUUGGAUUCUCUCUGCUAUGGACCCUGGCUUUUAGGGCUUCACAUUUUAAUUGUCUCAUGUUCAGAAAUUGAUGCUACUCUUUGGUUCCCAGCAUAGUUUUGAGUGACUUCAUGAAUGCUGCAAAGUUUUCUUUCCUUGUCUCCUCACUCUGUUUUAUUGUUAAUUUCAAAACUGGGUUUCUGAUUUACAGAAUUAGGAUCCUGACUGUGCCAGUUGCUAGAGGAAGAAUUUGUGACCAGCUUCAUGCAUGUAAGCCUCUACCUUAUUUAAUUGCAAACAGAUCUGCUUCCUGUGCCAGAUUUUAGCAUUGACCUUUGUGCUUCUCUCAUGAGAAGGCCUGAAUAUCUUAUAGUGCGACUGACUUUAGUUUAAAUUUCUGGCAAUGGAGUUAUUGAUUAAAUGCAUCAAUGUCUUUAGUUCAGUGUGUGAUUCCAAAGUCCCAAAUUUGCAAACUUCACCAUAGGCCAAUAUAAGCCUAUCCCCGGAUCAGUAUCGAUCGUAGAGAUCGAGUAUUGAUGUUUUAAGCCAAUGUGCUAUGAUACCAGAUCUCCAAUGCACUGCAGAACUCUAACUAAAGCACUGGAUGGGACUCAUGAGAUGGCGUCAUCUGCUGCUGCAGUUGCCUGCUUCUGAUCAUGAUCACCCAAGAUGGUUCCCGAUAAGCAUGCUAAGGCCGUGAUGGUUCCCGAUAUGCAUCCCGGUAAUCAUAGCGACACUAGUCCAGGACCUCUACUGAGGUCGAUCCGGGUCGAUAAUGAAAACAUCUGGGACCUCUUGCUAGGUCAAUUGAAUCAUGCAAAGAGAGAGAAAUAAGAGAGAGAAAACUAGGAGAGAGGAGAGUGAAAGAAGAGAGAGAGAGAAAACUCUUUUUCCUUCUCAAAAUAGGGGGAGAGCCCGAUCUCACCCUCAUCUUCUCGGAAUAGGAGGGGGUGUGACAGCCCAAGGUGGUCGAGCUCCGGCGAUAGCGGCCUUCAGCUGCGGCACCAUCGGCGACGGUGGUCGACCGACACGAAGAAGGAAAGAAAAGAGAAAGAAGAUCAUCAAAGAACUCUUCAAACUCGGCAUGAACCAUGGAUAACUCCCAAACCGAUAGUCAUAUGCUCUUAGGGGUCUUAGAUGGUGGCAAAACUUGGCCAAAUCUGGCGGCCGGUGGAGGCAAAACUUGGAAGAAAGAAUCGCCAAAAUAGUGUACCCUUAUUUCGAAUGGAUCUCGGUGACUUGUCGGCUUAAUUCAACAUGGCAACAACUCUAAAACUAGAAAAAAAAAGGAGGAGGAGGCAAAGAGCUCUCACUUCGGUCCGGCGAAGAUCCGACGAGGUUUUCGAUGAGGAAUCAAGGAGGAUACUCUAAGAGGAAGACUUGAAAUCGGCACCCAUUCUUGGGUCUUCGUCGAUGGAGCUAGGAGGAAGGAGCCUUAAAAAAAAAGUCUAUAAGGUUUUUGGCCGGUCUUUAGGUUGUUCUAGGACCCCCGGAGCUCGUCGGAGUCAUGGGAGGAAAAAGACUCCUAAUCGGAGUCUUCUUCUCCAUCGCGUGCAACAAGCUAAUUGAGCCUAGCCUCUUUGAUUGAGCCCGCCCACAAGUUGGGCUGGGCGCACCAGAUCAGGCUGAGCCGGGCCAUUUGGAGCCGACCCAGUAGCUCCAUUUUUGUUUGUUAUUACAAAUGAUGAGAAAAAAAUUCGGUUCAGCUGACAACGACAAAAUUCGUUGUGUGUUAGCCACUUCAAUUAAAUUUUGUAAUGUACGUUUUUUCGGAAUUAUAAUUCUCGAGCAUUCAAGCGACCACAGGAAACGCUGCAUGUUUCAAACCAUCAACACCGAUUGGAAACCACUGCAACGCCCAUAGAUUAAAGUUCCCCUCCACUAUAAAAGAGACCUGUUCGUCUUCCUUCUUCGCCCGCCACUCUCUUCCUCGGGCCUCAUGAGCUUUUUCUUCUUCCUGCAUGACGUUCUUCUGCCUUCUAAUCCUCACCUUCUCAGCUAUCCCUUCUUGAUCUUUUAGGGCUCAUAUAAAAAGCCGUCCCAUCCGCUCCCUCCCUCGCCACUUUCUCCUUGUCAUCCUUACUACUCUCUCUCUUUCUCUCUCUCUCUCUCUCUCUCCCUCCCUCCCUCCCUCCAUCCUAUGAAAAGAAAUCCUUUAUAACUCUGAUUGUCCUUGGUCUCUACCUCUAAUGGAGGAGCAAAGACUCCUAAAACGCUCCGUCUCUAAUGGAUGGAGGUUGAGUUUUCACAGACCACUUUUUCCUCUUCAAUCCAACUGUUCUCGAAAACUGAAGACUAACCGAAUAUGGCCUCCAGAAAUGGAAGACUGAUCGAACAUGGUCGGUCUUAUGUUAUGCAUGCCCAGUGGAAUGAUGCAUAACAGUCAUCUGUUAUGCAUCAUGCUGACCAUGCAGGGGGAUGUUGCUAGCAGCAGCCACGAAGCAUGGUAUAUGUGUUUUUCGUGGAGAUGGCCACCCUAGUAAUAGUUCUUCUGCAGUUCCAGUCUCAUGGUGAUAAAGGAGCACCAAAAGUUACCUUGUCCAUCUCAGUUGAAACGGAGUUUCGGACAGAAGUUGAUGGUGGAUGAUAGGUUAUGCUUGCCAUUGCCUUCCCGUUUUUCUGCCCUUUGAUUUUGAGGAGGCUUGUUUAUCUUGUGGUAUAUAUUCUGCAGUCGAACACGAAUGGCAUCCUAUUAAAAGUUUCUCUGACUAUGUACUUGUUGAAGGUUGAUAGCAAUGGUACAAGAGAAAUUGUGAGAAGAGCUGGAGCAUUUGUCUUAUCGUGUGAAACGGGUUUUGAUUUGUAAAUUCUCUGAUUUUUUAAAUGGAUAUGGAGUCAAAAUCCUGAAUGCCUACGUUUGACCUGUGGAGAGAAUUUAAGGAGAUGGGGGCCUAUGAUGAGAGGGAGCUUCAUCUUCGUGAGUCAAUUGCACACAUUUUGUCAUGAAUCGGAAGAGUGAAUUUACUGAUCCUCUGCUGCUUAGCACCUUGUUAGACUCCUAAUACCAAUUGUUAGACUCUUCAAAUCAAUUUAAUUUGAGUUUGCUAAAUGCUAACGAAGGUUAUGCUGCCGACUGCCUUACAACAUAAAAAGUGAAAAAAGCUUCAUGAUGACAAACAAAUUAUGCGAAGAGCUUCCCAAGACAGACUGCAGAUUUUUUGAGUUCUUAUUGGUUCUGCACGCUUGCGUCGUUUGGAAGCACCGAACUUCCCAAUGGCCGCCGCCCAGAACCGUCCGUCCUCCCCCUCGACGGACGCGUGGCCAUCGUCACAGGCGCCUCCCUCGGCGCCCGCCUAGUCCUCAACUACGCCUCCUCCUCCUCCUCCUCCUCCUCCUCCUCCCACGCACGGAGCUUAAUUCUUCCUCCUCCUCCGCUCCUCGAACCGUUGCCGUCCGCGCCGACGUCUCCGACCCUGCCAACGUCAAGUCCCUCUUCGACCGGGCCGACUCCUUCUUCGGCACCGCGCCCCACACCCUCAUCGCGUGCGCCGGCGUGUUCGACUCCAAGUCUCCAAGUAUCCCUCCCUCGCCGACACCACCGUCGAGGACUGGGACGCCAUCUUCUCCGUCAACGCCCGCGGCGCCUUCCUCUGCUGCCGCGAGGCAGCCAAUCGACUCCAGCGGGGUGCCGGCGGGCGGAUCAUCACGGUGUCAUCGUCGCUGGUGGGGGCGCUGAGGCCGGGGUGCGCGGCGUACACGGCGUCGAAGGCGGCGGUGGAGGCGUUGACGGAGAAGAUGGAGCUGAAGGGAACGGGGAUCACGGCCAAUUGUGUGGCGCCAGGGCCGGUGGCGACGGAGCUCUUCUUCGCCGGGAAGAGCGAGGAGGCGGUGAGGAAGGUGGUGGAGGAGUGCCCGCUGGGGCGGCUGGGGGAGACCAAAGACAUCGCACGGGUCGUGGGCUUCCUCGCUACGGACGCCGCCGAGUGGGUUAACGGCCAGGAUGUCCGCAUAGUUUGUUCUGUUAUUUGUUCCAUACCGACUUGGUCCGCAUAGUUUCUUCUAUGUUUUGUUCUGGUCCGCAUAGUUUGUGGAAUCCGACCGCGUAGUUCAUUCUAUACGGAAUCCGACCGCGUAGUUCAUUCUAUGCGGAAUCCGUCCGCGUAGUUCAUUCUAUGCGGAACACGUCCGCGUAGUCCCCCUAUGCGGAAUCCGUCCGCAUAAUUUCUAACAUGCGGAACCGGUCCGCAUAAUUGAUACUAUGAGGAACGGUCCGCAUAAUAGGUACUAUGCGGAAUGUGGCCGCGUAGUUUUGUCUAUGCGGAACCUCACCGCGUAGUUUAUUCCAUGCGGAACGUCACCGCAUAGUUUAUUCCAUGCGGAACGUAUCGUAAGAUUUGUUCAAUGCGGAAUCUGUCCGCAUAAUUGUAUCUAUGCGCAACGUGUCCGAAUAGCAUAUUCCAUGCGGAAUCUGUCCCGCAUUAAUUGCCAUUAUGCGGAUCCUGUCCGCAUAAUUGCAUCAAUGCGGGACCAGUCCGUGUGGUUGCUUCUAUGCGGAAACUGUCCGCAGAAGUUCCACUAUGCUGAUGCGGUCCGCAUAAUUUCCACUAUGCGAAACAUCUCAUAGUUUCUUCAGCGCGUCCACAUAGAGAAAUCUAUACGGAAACUGUCCGCAUAAAUUCCACUAUGCGGAACAGUCCGCAUAAUUGCUCUAUGAUGAACCUGUUCGCACAAUUUCUUCUAUGCGGAAUGUAUCCGCAUAGUUUCUCCUAUGCGGACGGGCCUACAUAGUUUCUUCAAUGCUCCGUUCUAUGCGGAUAGAGCAUGUCCGUUCUAGGGGAAAGAUGUCUGCACAGUCUGUUCUAUGCGGUAGCUGGCCGUAACCCAUGGAAAAAACCAGAAGGGAAAGCAUGCAACUCUAGGAAGUAAGCAUUCUUAAAAGGUAUCAUUGUUAGAAUUUAUUAUCUAUAAUUCUUUAACUUAAAAGCUAAAAAUCUGGCAUGUUUUUAAGUCCAUUUUGCAUUAGAGCUUUUACAUAAUAAUUCAAGACUUAAUACAAUUAAAAUUUGCUCAAAAAAGGAUGACACCAUUCUGCUACCGAGAAGAAAACCACCUCAUCUGCCUCAUCUCACAACCAAUUUGAGCAAUUGGAUGAUGGAGAAGGAAACAAAUAACUUCAGAUCUUGCCACGAGAAAACCUGAGAAAGGGUACCAUUAAGGUAAAUCGAAUGAUUUGAUGUGGGAGUGGUGCUGAUUGGAAGCACCAAUGGAUGACUUUCUCAAUAAAGUAGCUUGAAGAAAUCACCAUCCAUCAGCAAAGUGGGUAUCACUGAGCCCUGUAUCGACCAACUCAUAGACCCAUUGCCAAACACUGAACCAGCUCAUCAGCAGCACAAAAGGCUGGAUAGGAUGAAUGAAUGAUACCGCUUUACAUACAGUUUAUAGAUAAGCUAAAUCAAUAAAUAAAUUAAAAUCGCAUUGUGAUUUUUUAAUAAGAAACUCUCCUUCCAAUAGGAAAAGCAUUAAAAAUUACGUUCCCAUAUGAAAACCACUGAUACAAUUCAUAAUAAUAGUUUCGGAUGAAAUAGACUAAGAAAAAAAGUAUAAGUAGUAAGGCUACAUUGCAUGUUUUUAUUUGUUGAUAAUGAUUUGAUUAACUCAAAAAAAUGCUGCAGGACUUGAGUGGAAGUAACACUUGUACUACAGCACCAGCAACAUAUCCUCAAGUUGCGAACAUGAUCCAUGGAAGUAUGCCUGAGGUGUACAAAAUAUAUCUGCACCAAAUGCUUUACAGUUUUAUAAACUGACUACUAAAAGCAGACCAGAAAGCUUUCAUCUAACAGAGCUAACAGGCAUCCAGGAAGGAAUUACAAAGUUUCUUGCACAUACAGUCAGAUGAUGACUUGUACUAUCUGUAUUGAUAUUAAAGAGCAGAUUAACAAAAGAAUUUCAAGGAAAAAGAAAAAUAAAGGUUGAGAUUGAUACCUUAUGACCGUUCUUUGGAUAUGGGGCAGUGCCACACCUCCUGCAACACGCACAAAAGAACACGCAUAAAGAAGUCUCUGCAGCUCAUGGGGGAGCAUAAUAACUCUCUGCCACAAAGCAAAGAGUUACACCCCAUGCCAUGACCAUCUUGCACCCAUAAUAAUGCACCAGAAAUCCUUCAACUAUGGGUAGCAUGAGGUAAUGCCAAAGGAGACAUGACUGUGCUGAGUGACUCCUAUAAAAUCAGAGAACAGAAGACAGUUCUAAUGUCUAAAGCACAUGCCUACAGGAAGAAAAACCUAAUGACCUCGAAAAGAAUAAUUAAUCAACAAAAUUGUCACAACUGAGGUUGAAGCCUCAAAUCACUAAUAAACAAACAAGCAAUCAAAAAACAAAAGCAAUCCAAUACCAGCACAUUAAAAUUGUUGUGCCUACAGUACCAGGCUCAAAAGUUGCUUUAGAAACAAAAAUAGUUAGCCGAAGCAAAUUUCCUUCAAAUGAAAUCAGUGAACUGGUCUUUUCUGGCCUGAGCUCACAGCUAUAAAAGACUCUCACCUUCUUGGUGAAUUAAAUCAAACUGUUGCCAUUAGAAAAUGCAACAUCAUGGUGAAACAGCAUUUGGCACCAUAUGGUGAUCAGGGCGGGCAUGCACAAGUCUACCGAACGGACACAGAUUCGACAUGGAAAGAGAGAGCCCUCAUCCUACACUGUGAUUAAUGUUAUAGGCUAUCUUAACUGUCACUCUCAGCUUUUUCGUUGUCCCAUGCAAAAUUAAAUUUUAAAAAAAACAAAGAAAGAUGAUAAGGUAUCUGAACUUUGCUAAGUGUAAUCAAUCUUAUUUAUUCUUUUCUUGCGAAUGCUCCACAUGAAAUCCAACAGUGACAUACUUGACCAUCCCUUCGAAUCGCCCUCUGGCCCAUACUUGGCUAAAGAUUUUCCUCAUAUUUGGCUACCAAUGUUGCAUUAUAUUCCCACAUGCAGAAUGAAAAUUAGAAAGGAAAGCUUGCUUUUUCCCAGCAAAAAAAAUGAAAAGCUUGCUUGCCUUUUCUUGACAAAUUUUCACUUAAUUUAAAUCAAGCCCGUAAAAUACAAGAAAAUAAAGGGAAAAUAAAGGAAAAAAAACAAGCAGCAAGAACGACGCUUGAUUCAUGGUACCCAUAAUGCUGACCGUGACUGCAUCAAUAUCAUCUCUUUCUCCACCAUCUACUCGGAUAAAGCCACCAAUCCUGCAUCAUUUCCCUUUCCGAUUGUUUUCUUCAUAGAAAAACCCGUCGAAUCAAGAUGAUAAAUCAAGAAACAAAAGAAAAGAAUAAAGAAUCAAGACCCGAGAAGCUAGAACCCUCCAAGAGUCCAAGAAAACCCUAGCCGGAGCAACAAACCUAUAAUUUCCACCGUACGAAAUCAAUACAACAAGUGAAACAAGAACCAAAACCCUAGGAGUACCAAGACUCAAACCCCUAGGAGGACCAAGAAUCAAAACCCUAGGAGGACCAAGAAACGCACAGAAAAAGAAGGAAAAGAAAGAAUGGAGGGAGGGAGGAAGAGGGAGGAGGAGAGACCGAGAAAAAGGUAGUUCUAGUCGGCGAACCAGUUGUAGAGCACUGCAAUCUUGACUCAAGGGCGGCUAUACCUCUCGUCCACCGCUCCGUUAGGGCCAUCUUCCUUCCUUCAUUCCUUCCUUCCUUCAUCUCCAAUCGCUCCCCCUUCCUCGCUCUCCCAGUCUCAACCGACGCUCCCGUUCGCGCUGUCAGAAGGAAGAUAUUUAUAGAGAGGCGAAGGCGGUGGGUCCUCCGGAGAUCCGUUGAUGCCAGCCUGCCAUGCGUUAAAUCUCGCGCACAUAACGUCUCUCUUUUCUGGUGUUAUAUGUAAUCCCGUCCGUCUGUUUAUGGAGUCGCGUGCUGGGUGUCGCGAAACCGAUGAUGUUAGCAGGUUGUACUCACGUUAGAGCUAUAUGAAAUGAGUAACCGCUUUUACCAAAAAAAAAGAAGUGAUGUUAUGUGCCAACUCAUUGGAUUUCAAAUCCGCCAUAGCGUGCAUGGCAACUAGCAAUCUCCGCUACGGUGAACUCGGAAUAACUACCAAUGUAAGAUAUAAAUCUCGGAAUAAAGGUAUGAAUAUGCUGGCCAUAUGAAGGUAUGAGCCGGUCUGUGCCGUGCUCAAUGUGUGUUGCGGGCUCGAGUAGUCGUAUUUAAAAAAGAUUCGACUGCAGUGAUUGGUUGGAUCCAGCGGGCACCGGCAGCGUAGAUAGGUGCCACCUCUUGUUUCGAGACAUACAGGCCAUGAUUAGUGGCGGCAUGGCGUUCCAGACUAAGUGUGUUUAUAGAGAGGCUAAUGAAGCCACGGAUUGGGUGGCAUCGUAUGUAGCCGAUCACUUCAGAGAAGCUCUAUAGAUUGGGGAGAGAAAAUUGCCUAGAUCAUUCCGGAUUUGCUAUUAUUUCAGUUUUCCUUACACACAGUUGAAUUUUCUUUGCAUGCAGUUAAGUUAAGAGUUAACUACUCAAAAAAGAGUUAACUGAUGUCAAACUUUUUGCAACAUUGAGCCUUCUUAACUUAAAUGUGUGCAGAAAAAAUUUAUUUAUGUUCCAAGAUGAUUAAUUGCAUGCCAGGCUAGAUUAAGUGUGUUCCAAGCUUAUUUAACUGUGUGCGGAGAAGAUUUAACUUUGUGCCAUGCUAGAUUAAGUGUUCAAACAUUGAUUAACUACGUGCCAAGCUUACUUAAAUAUGUACCAUGCUAUAUUACCUGCGUACUAAAUUUACUAACCUAAUUGCAAUGGUGAGUUAACAGUGUUCGAGGUUAUAUGAAUUGAGUUCCAAGCUUACUUAACUAAUUGCAAUGGUAGCAAAUCCACUGUACCUAUCAAUAUCAUAAAGAUUAGAUUAUUUGCCACUCACUCAUUAUUUUCUUUUCUUUCCUUUUCUUCUUUUCUCACCCAUGGGGCUAGGUUAGGUUAAUUGGAUCUGUUCCAUUUUUCGGGUCGAGUCUUGGUUUACUAAAUUUAGAUUCGACCUGAUCUGACCCGAUCCGUUUGAAUUUUGGACAAUUAUGGAUUUCCAACCCUACGACCUGACCUGACUCAAACUAAACCCGAUAAACUAUUUGGGCCUGAAAAGGCAUAAAUUCAUGUUGUUCUCUAAGUUAUGCCUUAUGACUGAUGUGCAUGUCCUGUAUAUAAGUAGUAUUUUGCAUCUUCAGUUUACAGCUCCAAUUCAAAAUAUAGAAUGAUUCAUGCAGUUUCAUUGCUUGGUUUUGAAGGCUUAUUAAAGAAUAAUAAUCAUUUGUAGCAACAAAGUAACAACUAGGCCUCGAAAAGGCCUAAGUAUGAAGACAUAGGUUGUUCCCCAGAUAAUUUGAUUUAAUAAGUGUUGCAUGCUGUUUUUUUAGCCAGUUAACUUUAUCUGGUUUGUAGUUUUUUGUCCUUCAAUAUCUAAAAGAAAAGUUAUUGAAGCUGCUUUCUGUUCAGUCAUACUCUUUCAGAUUUAUUUGGACCUGACUCGACCCCGAAUUUUUUGGAUUGGACUGAGUUAUAUGUGGACCGAGUCUGACCCGAAUGACCUGUUGGGUCAGAAAUUUUAACAAUGGAUUCGACCCAACUCGAUCCAAUUUUCUAUUGGAUUGGGUCUAGGUCCAGUAUUAAGAUUCGAACAUGACACCGAUUUGGGUUGGGAACACUCAUAAUGCGGUCCGACCCAAUCCAAUUGCACUCCUAUGCUCAGUCCUUCUCCUUGUCUUCUCCCUUGCUGUCUUGCACUCUUCUUCAUUUUUUUUUAUUUUUUUAUUUCUCCCACCAUAAGCAAUAGUAAGGCUGACGCCUCGAAGAAAGCCGGCCGGUAGACCAUUCUCCCCAGACUCGGCAGCCGUUACCUUUGGUUGUGUCUGACGUCCAGUAGGGCCCGGACCGCCAGACGUAGAGAUGGAGCUCGUCCAAACGGAGUAUUUUGUUGCCAGUUGGGUUGCAAAAGCUCGUUCGGACAAUUUGUCGAACAGGAGGGAUGCGGCUAUGGCUGCCCCCCAGCAAGAAUAUAAAAGCGAGCAACAAAAACAGGUUUCGAGAUUUUUUUCUUCUUUCUUUCAAUUAUUUUUAAAAGUAACAUCGCUACAGCAUCAGAGAUCCGAAUCAACCAUACGGCCGUUUACAGCAUAGGAUCGAGGUUCUUAAAAAUAACUUUGCCUGAAAUCGCCAGCAACCGACUUAUCUUAUCCAAAACAAAACUAGACAAAAGUAGAAGGUGCAUCAAAGAUUAUAGUGGGAAACUGUAGGAAUAACGACGCCCAGAAUAUCAGCACCAUGGAUUAGAUUAUUUGCCACUCACUCAUUAUUUUCUUUUCUUUCCUUUGCUUCUUUUCUUUCUUUCUUCUUUUCUUUUUUUCUUUUUUUUCUUUUAUUUUCUUUGAAUUUCUUUUCUUCUUUAUUUAUUUAUUUAUUAUUUUAUUUCAUUACAAUAUAUUUAUUUAUUAUCUUAUUUAUUUAUUUAUAUGUUCAUUCAUAUAUAUAUAUAUAUAUAUGGAUUUAUUUAUUUAUUUAUUUUUCUUAUUCUUUCUUUAUUUUAUUUUAUUUUAUUUUAUUUUCUUUCUUUUUUUUGCCUUUUUUUUCUUAUUUUCUCCAUUGUGAGGCCGGUGGCACCAAAAUGGGGCCGGGCCAUGGCGGCCGCAAGAGGAGGCCCAGCCGCGGCCAGCUGCGGCUUUAUUUAUUUAUUUAUAAUUAUUUUAUUUUUUAUUACAAUAUAUUAUUUAUUUAUUUAUUCAUUUAUUCAUAUGUAUAUAAAUCAAGAUGAUAAAUCAAGAAAUAAAAGAAAAGAAUAAAGAAUCAAGACCCUAGAAGCUAGAACCCUCCAAGAGAGCCGGCCGCCAGACCAUUCUCCUCAGACCCGACAGCCGUUACCUUCGGCUGAGUCCGACGUCCAAUAGGGUCCGGACCGCAAGACGUAGAGAUGGGGCUCGUCCAAACCGAGUAUUUUGUUGCCGGUUGGGUUGCAAAAGCUCGUUCAGACAAUUUGUCGAACAGGAGGGAUGCAGUCAUUUGGGGCUAUGGUUGCCCCCCAGCUAGAAUAUAGAAGCGAGCAACAAAAACAGGUUGGUCGAGAUUUUUUUCUUCUUUGUUUCAAUUAUUUUUAAAAGUAACAUCGCUACAGCAUCAGAGAUCCGAAUCAACUAUACGGCCGUUUGCAGCAGAGGAUCGAGAUUCUUAAAAAUAACUUUCCCUGAAAUCGCCAGCAACCGACUUGACUUAUCCAAAACAAAACUAGACAAAAGUAGAAGGUGCAUCAAAGAUUAUAGUAGGAAACUGUAGGAAUAACGACGCACAGAAUAUCACCGCCAUGGAUUACCCAACC